GGCUAACGCUGGCGGCGUGUCUUAGCCAUGCAAGUCGAGCGGACUUAUGGGGUAACUUAUAAGUCAGCGGCGGACGGCGGAGUAACACGUAGCUAACCUACCCUCUGGACGGGGAUAACCUACCGAAAGGUGGGCUAAUACCCGAUGUAGUCAUCCUGUAUAGGGGUGAUGAAAGGUGGGCUUCUGUUUACAAGCUCAUGCUGGAGGAGGGGGCUGCGGCCUAUCAGGUAGUUGGUAGGGUAAUAGCCUACCAAGCCGAUGACGGGUAGCCGGCCUGAGAGGGUGACCGGCCCGAGGGGCACUGAGAUACGGGUCCCACUCCUACGGGAGGCAGCAGGCUAGAAAUUUGGGCAAUGGGGGAAACCCUGACCCAGUGACGCCGCGUGCAGGAAGGAGCCCUUCGGGGUGUAAACUGCUGUCGUGUAGGGAGAAGGGUACUAAGGUGAACAAUCUUAGUACUUGACGGUACUACAGGAGGAAGCCCAGGCUAACCUCGUGCCAGCAGCCGGGGUAAUAUAGCGUACU
rnacentral:rRNA from 1 species